CGUAAACAGGAGAACUCACAAUAAGGCAAUUGAUAAUAUGAGGGAUGUUUGAUGCACGUGAGACGUCACUCGUUUGAUCCCAUUUUGGUCUUCUUUUUCAGUGCUGCAGUGUUCGAGCUCAAAUGCCACGACGACAGAACAACUGAUCCAUUCUGCAGAGUUCGGAGAUGAAGAGGAUCAGGCACAACAGUGCAUUAGAGGAGUCACCGAUUCUGUUUUACUGUUUGCUUCGAUUGCUCCGAAACUCCCAGGAUUACGUAAUUAUGAGCAACCAGGGAACCAUAUGAUGAUGGAUGAGGGGAAAAGACAGGUUUUUUUCGGGGGCUGAAACCUGAGUGGCCCUGUGGGUUUCCCCACUCGGUUGCUGUGGAGAACGUGUCGGUUGUAGCUGCCCUAACUCACACAGACUGAGGAAAGUAUCUACUAAAGACGUUGUCUCUGGCCUUUGGCCUUUAAAUACAGUGGACAUGCUCUGCA